rnacentral:rRNA from 1 species
AUGGGCGUCGGCGGCAUUCCCUGCCGCCCCCGCCCCCUCCACCUCGCCGCCGCCGCCGUCCUGCUCCUCGUCCUCCUGACGCCGCGCCCGGCGUCGUGCGCCGACCUGUACGCGGUCGUCUACAAGGGCUGCGCCAACCAGACCUUCGCGGGGGGCAGCCCGCCGCCGACCGUCGCGGCGCUCUCCUCGGCGCUCGCCGCGCAGUCCGCCUCCGCCAAGUUCUACAAGACCUCCUCGGCCUCCGCCUCCUCCGCCUCCGCCUCCGUCUUCGGCCUCUUCCAGUGCCGCGGGGACCUCUCCGGCCCGGACUGCUCCUCCUGCGUCGCGCGCGCCAUGUCCUCCUGGCGCGACCUCUGCGGCGGCGCCGUCGCCGCCCGCGUCCAGCUCAACGGCUGCCUCGCGCUCUACGAGAUCUCCGGCUUCCCCCAGGUCUCCGGCGUCCAGAUGCUCUUCAAGACCUGCGGCUCCGGCGGGGGCGCCGCCGCCGCGGACUUCGAGACCCGCCGCGGCACCGCCUUCAGCCAGCUCGAGGGGGGAGCCGGCUCCAGCGCCGGCGGGUUCUUCGCUACCAGCUUCCAGCAGGUGUACGCGCUGGCGCAGUGCGAGGGCGACCUCUCCAACGUCGACUGCAGCAACUGCGUCACCCAGGCCGUGCAGCGCGUCGCCGUCGAGUGCGGCGGCGCCCCCUCCGGCCAGGUCUACCUCGACAAGUGCUACAUUACCUACAGCUACUACCCCCACGGCGUGCCCCAUGGCGGCGGCGGCGGCCUCGGAGGGCAGCAGACAGCCAAGACUGUAGCCAUCGUGCUGGGUGGAGCCUUGGCCCUGGGUUUCCUGGUCAUCUGCUUGCUCUUCGCCAGAAGCCUGGUCAAGAAGAAGGACGAUUACUGA